AAUUAAGUAGGCAUGAAGGUCGUAAAGUUCUGUCCCUGGGGAAGAAACGGACGGUACCCAAGAAGGAAGCCCCGACUAAUUACCUGCCACCAGCGGCGUUAAUAGGUGGGGGGCGAUCUUUGUCAGGAAUUGUUGGGAAUAAAGGGUUGGCGGGCGGUUUUUUAAGUCAGAUGUGAAAUACAUAGGCUCAACGUAUGUCAGCAUAGAAACUGGGGGACAUGAGUGAAGGAGAGGAAAGUGGAAUUCCUAGUGUAGCGGUGAAAUGCGUAGAUAUUAGGAGGAAUACCAGUGGAGAAGGCGACUUUGUGGACAUUAACUGACGCUGAGGAAAGAAAGCGUGGGGAGCAAACAGGAUUAGA
rnacentral:rRNA from 1 species